rnacentral:rRNA from 1 species
UGAAACUACGCCUACAUGAAGCUGGAAUUGCUAGUAAUCACAGGUCAGCAUACUGUGGUGAAUACGUUCCCGGGCCUUGUACACACCGCCCGUCACACCAUGAGAGUUGAGAAUACCCGAAGCCCAUGUCAAAGUGGUCGAAGGUAGGCUUGAUGAUUGGGGUGAAGUCGUAACAAGGUAGC